UCCUUGCCUUUGUCUCGAGACCGCAUGAAUGUUGCUUAGGUCUGUAUCUGUGUAGCGCUUGGCCUUCGUGGCCUAUGGUCUCGGACAACAACUCUCUGCAGCAUGCUCAAUAGUCCCUUCACUCCACCAUAGUUUGUGCCAUUAUAACAGGCGUUGGGGCGAAUUCGAUGAUUGCAUGUUUAUUUUAUUGCAUACUGGAAAUGGCAGCCUACUAACAUGGCGAUAAAAGAAGAAACGAGGAGUGUUCACUAACGACCCCCCGAAACCGCAAAGUUGGCCACUGUAAAAUUCGCAUUUUACAACUUCGAAGAGGACAUGCACGAAAUGGAAGGCAACUUGCAAAAAGACCGCUCACUAAAUUUGGAGAUACAACGUGCCCUUUCAUGAGGCUAAAUUGACACAGUACUUCAACCCUGCACCGUUGUCUAGCUACACCACUAUGGCCUCAGCGCUAUACCGUUACACGGCUAAGCAUCCCUAAAUCCCUGGAAUUGAGUGGCCCAGGUAGAGCCCUCCCUCCUCCACAGAAAUAUCACUUAACACAGAUUAACCUUGGGCUGGAAAGCGCUGCCUCUCGCCUGCUGUUCCACAGUACCUGCCAGCUGCCUGCCACUAGAGUCCUCCUUAUCGUCUCCCUCCAUCUGCAUGUGUGUGUGCGUGUGCGUGUGUGUUUAUGAGAAUGGUGGGGGGAGGUGGGGGUGGAAUGGUUUCUUAUUAAUAAACCAUUACCUUAAUACUUUUGUUCAUGUGUGUCACAUUACAUGAUCCAGAGCUUUCUCCUCCAUUUUCUGGUCCCUUCGGCCAAUAGCCUGUGCAUCUGCACAAUUGGGGAGGGUGAGGGGAGUCGGGAUGUUGUUGUUUCCACGGAAAUCAGAGUUGGUUUCAGAUUUCAGCCGGAUGAUUAGGAAAUGUAUCUGUGCAUGUGUGUGCAAGAGUGUCUUCACCUUCGUAAUAUUCUUUGGGAGAUGUUAUCAGAUGUAUUUUUAAUUACAAUUAGGACACAGCUCAUUUCUCCUGUACAAAUUCACCUGUGUGACCCUACUAGGGGAAGCUUGUCACUAUACUGUAUAUUUGGAGGAGUGCUGAUUGAAAUCACUUGUGGUAAUGCAGGUACAAAUCAAAUUAUUGUCAAAGCAUCACGCAUGUCUAUUAAAAUAUACUGGUACUGUAAAUAGUCUCUGUAUAGAGUUGUUCAGCCUGAUUUUGUGCUCAGUUGUGAUGUGUAUGGUCUAAGUGUCUGUCUUUGGCUGUUGGGAGUGACUGUGUAAUGUAUGGUUCUGUGCAUUGUGUUCUCUUCUGUCAUUGCUGUUACAUUAUACCACUCUGUUGUAUGGAGUGUUUUGUGUUGUGAGUAUUUUAUUGUAUGGGUUUUGUUGGAGCGUGUGGGAUUGUACAGUGUAUAUGAAAAUGUUUUAUCAUGUGAAGUCUAUGUGCAUUGUGUUAUUUAAUGUUUACUUGGCUAAUGUAUCAGCCAUGCACUAGGCUAUAUGCAAUGUCCUCUGCCCAUAGUGUUAGAUGAAUUUGUGCGGAAGAUUGAACUAAAUUCAUAUUCAAAGAUCAGUUUGUACGUGUACUUUUUUCAGUCACCAUGUUUGGGUGUUUGUUUUCUAUUCUAGUGCUGCAUACAUUCUCUAUUGUUAUGUGUACUAAAGGCUUGCAUUUCUGUUAGCAAUUAUAUAGUAACGUUAGCCAGUGCUUGCAUUACCAGUUAGCUCGCAUAGCUUACGGUAAGCUAGCUAAAGUAAUCAAGCAAUGGAAAACAGAUGAAAACAGCCAUGGAAUACUUUAGAAGAAUACGCAGUUAGCCAUGACUAUUGGCAUUUAGCAGGCUACACUGCACUUCCCCAGUGUUAGGUGGAAAUACUUAGUAAUUACUAGAAUAUACAUUAGAACUCUUUUUACGGUGCAACACCUUACCGUUAGGAAUAUGCAAAACUGAACUUGAACACAUUAUAACUAGGCUAUGUGUUAGCUUACACAUAGCUGGCACUACCAACCCCUGAAGCCAUACUAUAGUAAAACCUUUUGGCUGGAAGUCAUUAAUGUUCACAUUGUCCUCUCCACCAGCAGUCAUUUUUUCGAUUUAAUGACUUCUCUGCUCUUAAAUUAUGUUCAUUUCAGAUAAUUCUGUGGAGCAAGAGCUUUUGACUAGUCUAGUUUAAGAUUUUAUUUAUUUUAGACUAAGUUCAAGACAUUUCAUUUGCAAAUAAGCUUUUGAGUCAUUUAAGGGGAUAGUUUUUUUUUUUUUAAGUUUAAGUUUUAGUGCAUGUUAUUUAUUGGUUCAGUCAGUUUUUGUGUGCAAUUAAGGGUAUAAUGUAUUUCUGGAAAAUAUCUGGCAGCUUUAUCUGGUUUCUAUCGGAGGUUCAUGGUCAAAAGCAAAAAAAAAAAAAAAUUAAACCAGCACUGAAACAGCUUAUACACUGACGUUAUGCCUCCAGAGGCUGUACGUGUCUUUAUUACAUUUAAAAAUUCCAAAAAUUUUAAAUUAUUCUUCAAGAGAACUUAUUUAAUGUAACCUCGAACACUGAGCUCAUGUUGGCAAAACUUAAUUUAUCAACACUGCAUGAAUCCUUGGGAGUGAAGAGCUAGUACUGCUUGAGAACUGAGAAAGAAAGAGGUGUGGGAAGGAUAUAAAAGUUCAUUUAUGCCUAUAAUGUUGAACCAAUACUAUAAAAUUAAUCUGUUCAUAUGUGCAGCCUUGGAAAAUAUUGCUACAGUUACCUGAAGUGUAUUUUCUUC